UAAGAACCCAUUUUCAUCCCUCUAAUACGUUAAACAUAAUCUCAACUACUAUUCACUUCACUAGCAAUUCAAACAAUACCUUGGCGACGAAAAAUUAACAGAAGCCUACAGAAUCAGGUCCAAAUGAUCAGAGACUGGCUAUUUACUUAUGCAUUAAUAAACACACAGGAAUUCCUACAAAAGUAAAUAAAUGAACGCAGAGGAAAAACUUUCAAAAUCCCAUGUACAUCCAAACAUAUCACAUCUGAAUAAAUUGAACUGUCCCCAUUGUCGGAUUUCUAAAU
rnacentral:misc_RNA from 1 species